GCGUAAAAUGCGUAACUUUGCAGUCUGAGUAAACUUAAUUAAUAAAUUAAAACUUUUAACAACGGAUCUCUUGGUUCUGGCAUCGAUGAAGAACGCAGCGAAAUGCGAUAAGUAAUGUGAAUUGCAGAAUUCAGUGAAUCAUCGAAUCUUUGAACGCACAUUGCGCCCCCUGGUAUUCCGGGGGGCAUGCCUGUUCGAGCGUCAUUUCACCACUCAAGCCUCGCUUGGUAUUGGGCAACGCGGUCCGCCGCGUGCCUCAAAUCGUCCGGCUGGGUCUUCUGUCCCCUAAGCGUUGUGGAAACUAUUCGCUAAAGGGUGUUCGGGAGGCUACGCCGUAAAACAACCCCAUUUGACCUCGGAUCAGGUAGGGAUACCCGCUGAACUUAAGCAUAUCAAUAA
rnacentral:rRNA from 1 species